GACGAACGCUGGCGGCGUGCCUAAUACAUGCAAGUUGAGCGAUGAAGAUUGGUGCUUGCACCAAUUUGAAGAGCAGCGAACGGGUGAGUAACGCGUGGGGAAUCUGCCUUUGAGCGGGGGACAACAUUUGGAAACGAAUGCUAAUACCGCAUAACAACUUUAAACAUAAGUUUUAAGUUUGAAAGAUGCAAUUGCAUCACUCAAAGAUGAUCCCGCGUUGUAUUAGCUAGUUGGUGAGGUAAAGGCUCACCAAGGCGAUGAUACAUAGCCGACCUGAGAGGGUGAUCGGCCACAUUGGGACUGAGACACGGCCCAAACUCCUACGGGAGGCAGCAGUAGGGAAUCUUCGGCAAUGGACGAAAGUCUGACCGAGCAACGCCGCGUGAGUGAAGAAGGUUUUCGGAUCGUAAAACUCUGUUGGUAGAGAAGAACGUUGGUGAGAGUGGAAAGCUCAACAAGUGACGGUAACUACCCAGAAAGGGACGGCUAACUACGUG
rnacentral:rRNA from 1 species